ensembl:lncRNA
AGCGUUCACAUUGCUGGUAUAAAUCAGCAGUCCUUUCAGUGUUUAUGUCAGCAGUGAAAUUGGCCCGGAUUUUUUUAGAUAUUCACACUAUGUCUAGAUGAAGGUAAAUAACCACACAAGUGUUUAUACAAGCACACAUGACAUACAGACACCUUCUCUUCUGUGUAUACUUAUGUUAUUUACCGAUUUUACAUAAGGAAAAUGUCAGUAGUUUCUAGUUCAGAAGAAAAGAGCCUGUCCUUUCGUUUUAUAUUACCCGUCAUUAUUUUGUCGCAUAGGGGGAAUUCAGUCUUGCUGAAACCGAGCUGGCUGAAAAUCUGCCGUGCAGCACCUAGGCUCCCUCUGGAGGGAGCGGAGCAGCACAAGCGCCUCCAGAUGGCGUCUGAUCCCGGCUCACCUGGCCGAGGAGGGAGAGCGAUUCCUAUUUCACGGGUGCGGCAUGUAAAUACGAUGAGGAAGAGGCACUUUGUUGCUGUCAAGAAUAGCCUGUGAUGUUGUAUGACUGCUUCAAGUCUUGAUGAUCCAAAGAGAAGAGUGAGUGAAAGAUCUGAGGGGGAAACACAGAGACGUUAAAGGAUAUACAUAACUGAGUGCUGAAAUGCAAAGCACACACUAGCUCAACUCUCCCACUGACUCGUGAAUGUCUUUUGUAACUGUAUGAUUAUUUGUAUUUUUAAGUUUUAUAUAUUUAUACUUGUAUGCUCUUACAUGUAUAUGAAACUUCAGGUUUCCCCUUCCAUCUAUCUUCCCUCCAUAUCUUCCUAUCUUCCCUUCCAUAAUCUCAGUUUCCUGAAACUGAUUACCUGAGAUUUGCAGGGUUGCCCUGGAAGGGGAGGAAAACAAUGGGCAUCAGCUCAAAGGGC